UGGGGAAUUUUCCGCAAUGGGCGAAAGCCUGACGGAGCAACGCCGCGUGGAGGUGGAAGGCCUACGGGUCGUCAACUUCUUUUCUCGGAGAAGAAACAAUGACGGUAUCUGAGGAAUAAGCAUCGGCUAACUCUGUGCCGG
rnacentral:rRNA from 1 species